UGAUCCAGACUUUGAUCCUGGCUCAGGACGAACGCUGGCGGCGCGCCUAACACAUGCAAGUCGAACGAGAGAUGAGGAGCUUGCUCUUCAAAUCGAGUGGCGAACGGGUGAGUAACGCGUGAGGAACCUGCCUCAAAGAGGGGGACAACAGUUGGAAACGACUGCUAAUACCGCAUAAGCCCACGACUCGGCAUCGAGCAGAGGGAAAAGGAGUAAUCCGCUUUGAGAUGGCCUCGCGUCCGAUUAGCUAGUUGGUGAGGUAAUGGCCCACCAAGGCGACGAUCGGUAGCCGGACUGAGAGGUUGAACGGCCACAUUGGGACUGAGACACGGCCCAGACUCCUACGGGAGGCAGCAGUGGGGAAUAUUGCACAAUGGGGGAAACCCUGAUGCAGCGACGCCGCGUGGAGGAAGAAGGUCUUCGGAUUGUAAACUCCUGUUGUUGAGGAAGAUAAUGACGGUACUCAACAAGGAAGUGACGGCUAACUACGUGCCAGCAGCCGCGGUAAAACGUAGGUCACAAGCGUUGUCCGGAAUUACUGGGUGUAAAGGGAGCGCAGGCGGGAGAACAAGUUGGAAGUGAAAUCCAUGGGCUCAACCCAUGAACUGCUUUCAAAACUGUUUUUCUUGAGUAGUGCAGAGGUAGGCGGAAUUCCCGGUGUAGCGGUGGAAUGCGUAGAUAUCGGGAGGAACACCAGUGGCGAAGGCGGCCUACUGGGCACCAACUGACGCUGAGGCUCGAAAGUGUGGGUAGCAAACAGGAUUAGAUACCCUGGUAGUCCACACCGUAAACGAUGAUUACUAGGUGUUGGAGGAUUGACCCCUUCAGUGCCGCAGUUAACACAAUAAGUAAUCCACCUGGGGAGUACGACCGCAAGGUUGCAACUCAAAGGAAUUGACGGA
rnacentral:rRNA from 1 species